AGUGCGAUAUCUCCAGAAGGUUCUAAAGGGACUAAAUGCAUUGCUAUAGAAUUAGCAUUGUAUAUCACAGAUUACAGUCUUAAAUGGCAGUUUUUCUCUCUGGUAUAACCAUUUUUAUAAAAUUCAACUUUAUUAA